AUAGUACUCCCUUCGUUCGGAAUUACUUGUCGCAGAAAUGGAUGUAUCUAGACGUAUUUCAGAUCUAGAUACAUUCAUUUCCGAGACAAGUAAUUUCGAACGGAGGGAGUAGUAA
rfam:Triticum aestivum genome assembly, contig: Triticum_aestivum_CS42_TGACv1_scaffold_375763_5AL